rnacentral:rRNA from 1 species
CGUGCCUAACACAUGCAAGUCGAACGGAGUUGUUUCGCUGACGAGACUUCGGUCAAAUCUUGAAACAACUUAGUGGCGAACGGGUGAGUAACGCGUGAGGAACCUGCCUUUCAGAGGGGGACAACAGUUGGAAACGACUGCUAAUACCGCAUGAUACUUACGAACGGCAUCGUUUGUAAGUCAAAGAUUUAUCGCUGAAAGAUGGCCUCGCGUCUGAUUAGCUAGUUGGUGGGGUAACGGCCCACCAAGGCGACGAUCAGUAGCCGGACUGAGAGGUUGACCGGCCACAUUGGGACUGAGAUACGGCCCAGACUCCUACGGGAGGCAGCAGUGGGGAAUAUUGGGCAAUGGGCGCAAGCCUGACCCAGCAACGCCGCGUGAAGGAAGAAGGCCUUCGGGUUGUAAACUUCUUUUACCAGGGACGAAUAAUGACGGUACCUGGAGAAAAAGCAACGGCUAACUACGUG